rnacentral:rRNA from 1 species
GAUUAACGCUGGCGGCGUGCAUAACACAUGCAAGUCGAACGAGUGGCGGACGGGUGAGUAAUGUAUGGGGAUCUGCCCGAUAGAGGGGGAUAACUACUGGAAACGGUGGCUAAUACCGCAUACUAUCGGAUGAACCCAUAUGGGAUUAGCUAGUAGGCGGGGUAAAGGCUCACCUAGGCGACGAUCUCUAGCUGGUCUGAGAGGGUGAUCAGCCACACUGGGACUGAGACACGGCCCAGACUCCUACGGGAGGUAGCAGUGGGGAAUAUUGCACAAUGGGCGCAAGCCUGAUGCAGCCAUGCCGCGUGUAUGAAGAAGGCCUUAGGGUUGUAAAGUACUUUCAGCGGGGAGGCGUUACCCGCAGAAGAAGCACCGGCUAACUCCGUGCCAGCAGCCGCGGUAAUAC